rnacentral:lncRNA from 1 species
UAUAGGAAUGCUUGGUAUCCUUCCAAGAACUCCUCCUUUAGAGGAGCCUCACAGAAGUUGCUGGGUAAACAUGGGCUCAAACCAAGGAAAGUCAGGUAACCUGGGUGGAGGUUAUCCCACCACCAAUGGCAGGGGACAGCUUGCAAGUAUUUGGGCUUAUAGUCUCCCAGCCCACAGCCUCUCUCCCUUGCUAGUGUUAGAGAGAUGCUGAUCACGUUUACUCUUCUCUUAUUUUCUCUGCGUAUCCCCUUACCUUAACUUUUUGACCAUGUUCUUGAGCCUAGAGUUCAGUUAGUCUCAUUUCUCCAGGAGUCCUGGAGACAGUGUCCUUCCACCUACCAUGUGUGGAGUUU